rnacentral:misc_RNA from 1 species
GUGAAUCAUCAAAUUUUUGGACGCAAAUUGCACUCUCUUCGGAGAGUAUGCCUGUUUGAGGGUCAGCCUAAAAAAAAUCGACGUAGUCGCUGUUUCGCGGUGACAUUUGUCGGUAAUUGGGUCAUCUUAAACCUUUGGGUUUUUUAAGAGGCUGAAAAUUUUCUUUACGAUUCAACGAACGUUUCUAAGAUUUACUUCUUGGGUUUAAGGUAUCGAUAUUUUUUAGACGUGU